GAGCGUCCCAUAGCGUUUUCGUUGUCAGAAACUCGGUAAGGUUACUAACAAGGUUAGGUUUGAUAUUUUGGAUGAGCCAAGAAAAGAAAAGACGAUUAAAUUAUCUUGUUCUCACUGUUCAUCGAUGGGUUCCGGUGGGUCUUUGGUGAGAUGAUUUAAAAGAGCUUUCGAUUUCCCCCCUAUGGCGACUCGUAUCAUCCGAGCCCAUAGAGGGUAGUUUUGGCUUGUGAGAUUGAGGUUAAUUUUUAGGCUAUCGGAGGGAUUUGGUUUUGGGUUCUGGGUUUGAGUUUGAACUCCAUUUUUUAGGAGAUUGGCUAUUUGGAUGGCUAGGUUAUUGCUAUCUUCUUCCGACAUUGUUCCUGGUUCUGGUAGAUGAUGAGCAAAACAAACAGAUUCGGGAUCAUGAACAUUGCUCUGAUACCAUGUUGACCAUGACAAUCAGAGGAAUGGAAGAAAAAAGUUGAAG
rnacentral:lncRNA from 1 species